rnacentral:rRNA from 1 species
GACGAACGCUGGCGGCGUGCUUAACACAUGCAAGUCGAACGAUGAAGCCGGAGCUUGCUCUGGUGAAUUAGUGGCGAACGGGUGAGUAACACGUGAGUAACCUGCCCUUGACUCUGGGAUAACUGCUAGAAAUGGUAGCUAAUACCGGAUACGACCCUCGGAGGCAUCUCCAGGGGGUGGAAAGAAUUUCGGUCAAGGAUGGACUCGCGGCCUAUCAGCUAGGUGGUGAGGUAAUGGCUCACCAAGGCGACGACGGGUAGCCGGCCUGAGAGGGUGACCGGCCACACUGGGACUGAGACACGGCCCAGACUCCUACGGGAGGCAGCAGUGGGGAAUAUUGCACAAUGGGCGCAAGCCUGAUGCAGCAACGCCGCGUGAGGGAUGACGGCCUUCGGGUUGUAAACCUCUUUUAGUAGGGAAGAAGCGAAAGUGACGGUACCUGCAGAAAAAGCACCGGCUAACUACGUGCCAGCAGCCGCCGUAACAC